rnacentral:lncRNA from 1 species
CACAGCACCCCUCACAAAACGGAGGGGGGGGGAUUGGCAUGAGUCUCUUGAUGUUUUUCCCUGUUUUUCCACGUUUUUCCCCCAUUUUCCAGCCUGUGUGGUUGAGCACAGCACCCUUCACAAAAAGAAGUGGGGGGAUUGGCAUGAAACAUGGUGGCGACGUGAGCCCAGCCGAACGGAUGGUGGAAGAAAAAUCAUCCUCACGAAAACACCAGCAUCACCCCUGGCAGGGAGAGAAGGAAAAAGAUGGUGUUUGAAGGAGGAAAACAUAAAAGCCUCAACAGGAAUGGUACCUGUGCAGGAAAUACUGCCCCAAACCUCAGCGUCGGGGGGGGUCGGAGGUGAGGGCUGGACCGGGGCAGUGCGAGGAGGAGGAGGAGGAAGAAGUUCACCUCAUGACGGAGAACUCACCGAGGACAGUGUGUGCAGAGGACGUGCGCGGUGUGAGCUUGGUUCAGUGCCUGCAAUCAAUACCAGCUUGCUCAGGACAAGAGCCACCACUUUCCAGUCAAGAGCUCCUCCUGCCAGGAUAAAAGCUUCCAGCGUGGGAGCGAGGAAUCAGCUCUCUCCUCUCCUGUGAUGCCCAGGGCUGGUGUUGGGAGCCCACAUCAGCUUUUUUAUGGGGAUGGGGGUGGCCGAGGCUUUGCCUGGGGGGGCAAAUAGGGGCUGACAACACACUGAAGCGCUCACACACCCCCAACUCCGACUAUCACAAAGGGUUAAAUUGCUGUGAUGGAGCUGGGUAAAUCAGGCAGGAAAAUAAUCAGCUCCCAACUGGAGUGGGGAGAUGCUCAGUAUUUUACAGCUUCUUUCAUACACUUUACAGAAACUAAUGCUUACACAAAUAAUACCUAGGGGAUGAUAACGGGCCAUAAAUAAUUCAGGGUUCU